rnacentral:rRNA from 2 species
UACGGAGGGUGCGAGCGUUAUCCGGAAUUACUGGGUUUAAAGGGUGCGUAGGCGGCUUGGUAAGUCAGGAGUGAAAGUUUGCGGCUCAACCGUAAAAUUGCUUUUGAUACUGCCAGGCUAGAAUCAGGAUGAGGUCAGCGGAAUGUGGCAUGUAGCGGUGAAAUGCAUAGAUAUGCCAUAGAACACCCAUUGCGAAGGCAGCUGGCUAGACCUGGAUUGACGCUGAGGCACGAAAGCGUGGGGAGCGAACAGG